rnacentral:rRNA from 1 species
AACAGGAUUAGAUACCCUGGUAGUCCACGCUGUAAACGAUGUCGACUUGGAGGUUGUUCCCUUGAGGAGUGGCUUCCGGAGCUAACGCGUUAAGUCGACCGCCUGGGGAGUACGGCCGCAAGGUUAAAACUCAAAUGAAUUGACGGGGGCCCGCACAAGCGGUGGAGCAUGUGGUUUAAUUCGAUGCAACGCGAAGAACCUUACCUGGUCUUGACAUCCACAGAACUUUCCAGAGAUGGAUUGGUGCCUUCGGGAACUGUGAGACAGGUGCUGCAUGGCUGUCGUCAGCUCGUGUUGUGAAAUGUUGGGUUAAGUCCCGCAACGAGCGCAACCCUUAUCCUUUGUUGCCAGCGGUCCGGCCGGGAACUCAAAGGAGACUGCCAGUGAUAAACUGGAGGAAGGUGGGGAUGACGUCAAGUCAUCAUGGCCCUUACGACCAGGGCUACACACGUACUACAAUGGCGCAUACAAAGAGAAGCGACCUCGCGAGAGCAAGCGGACCUCAUAAAGUGCGUCGUAGUCCGGAUUGGAGUCUGCAACUCGACUCCAUGAAGUCGGAAUCGCUGGUAAUCGUGGAUCAGAAUGCCACGGUGAAUACGUUCCCGGGCCUUGUACACACCGCCCGUCACACCAUGGGAGUGGGUUGCAAAAGAAGUAGGUAGCUUAACCUUCGGGAGGGCGCUUACCACUUUGUGAUUCAUGACUGGGGUGAAGUCGUAACAAGGUAACC